rnacentral:rRNA from 1 species
AUGAACGCUGGCGGCGUGCCUCAUACAUGCAAGUCGAGCGAACAGACGAGGAGCUUGCUCCUCUGACGUUAGCGGCGGACGGGUGAGUAACACGUGGAUAACCUACCUAUAAGUCUGGGAUAACUUCGGGAAACCGGAGCUAAUACCGGAUAAUAUAUUGAACCGCAUGGUUCAAUAGUGAAAGACGGUUUUGCUGUCACUUAUAGAUGGAUCCGCGCCGCAUUAGCUAGUUGGUAAGGUAACGGCUUACCAAGGCAACGAUGCGUAGCCGACCUGAGAGGGUGAUCGGCCACACUGGAACUGAGACACGGUCCAGACUCCUACGGGAGGCAGCAGUAGGGAAUCUUCCGCAAUGGGCGAAAGCCUGACGGAGCAACGCCGCGUGAGUGAUGAAGGUCUUCGGAUCGUAAAACUCUGUUAUUAGGGAAGAACAAAUGUGUAAGUAACUAUGCACGUCUUGACGGUACCUAAUCAGAAAGCCACGGCUAACUACGU